CCCUUAGAUGUUCUGGGCCGCACGCGCGCUACACUGUUCGACGCAGCGAGUCUUAACCUUGACCGAAAGGUUUGGGUAAUCUUCAGCAAAGUCGAACGUGAUGGGGAUCGAUCAUUGCAAUUAUUGAUCGUGAACGAGGAAUUCCUAGUAAGUGCAAGUCAUCAGCUUGCGCUGAUUACGUCCCUGCCCUUUGUACACACCGCCCGUCGCUACUACCGAUUGAAUGGUUUAGUGAGAUCUCUGGAUUGACGCUGGCUAGGGGGCGACCCUUGGCCAGACUGCUCGAGAAACUGCUCAAACUUGAUCAUUUAGAGGAAGUAAAAGGCGUAACA
rnacentral:rRNA from 1 species